UAUAAAAGGGCGCGCAGUCGACGCGCUCAACACAGUUGAAAAGUGUGCGUUGAACAGAACAGUCGUAGGCAGUACGCCAAGAGAUCAGUAGCAACUACGUAGUGAAGUCGCAAACAUGUGCAAGGCUGUUAUAGAUUGUAAAGAAAGAAUGAAGGAUUGGAAGAGUGUGAAGAGACGCUGAGCAAACGGCCUUCGAAUCGAUAGUGGUGUGAGUCAUGGGCGCUGCCACCAGAGAUCCAUGCGAAAAGCCAUCAGGCAUUGGUCCCGGAGCACACUCGUUUCCUGCUCCUCGCACGUUAAUGGCAACGAUGAUGAGGAACGGAACACAAACAAGAAACUACGUCGCAGUGGGCCACUGAAUGCAUCCGUGUCCCGGUAGCAACAAUAGUUCGACUAUGGCUGGUACUGGUAAAGAAGAAUCCCGAACCCAAUCGUCGCAGUGACGAUGGCGUUGCGUUGUAGAGUUACUGAGUGAGUCUCAACGUCUGUCCGAGUCACCCCCACCU